rnacentral:rRNA from 1 species
GGAGCUAACGCGUUAAGUCGACCGCCUGGGGAGUACGGCCGCAAGGUUAAAACUCAAAUGAAUUGACGGGGGCCCGCACAAGCGGUGGAGCAUGUGGUUUAAUUCGAUGCAACGCGAAGAACCUUACCUACUCUUGACAUCCACGGAAUUCGGCAGAGAUGCCUUAGUGCCUUCGGGAACCGUGAGACAGGUGCUGCAUGGCUGUCGUCAGCUCGUGUUGUGAAAUGUUGGGUUAAGUCCCGCAACGAGCGCAACCCUUAUCCUUUGUUGCCAGCGAUUCGGUCGGGAACUCAAAGGAGACUGCCGGUGAUAAACCGGAGGAAGGUGGGGAUGACGUCAAGUCAUCAUGGCCCUUACGAGUAGGGCUACACACGUGCUACAAUGGCGCAUACAAAGAGAAGCGACCUCGCGAGAGCAAGCGGACCUCACAAAGUGCGUCGUAGUCCGGAUCGGAGUCUGCAACUCGACUCCGUGAAGUCGGAAUCGCUAGUAAUCGUGGAUCAGAAUGCCACGGUGAAUACGUUCCCGGGCCUUGUACACACCGCCCGUCACACCAUGGGAGUGGGUUGCAAAAGAAGUAGGUAGCUUAACCU